GUGCAGCUGAUGACAGUUUGAAAGAAGGAUGAGCAGGCUCUCUGCCAUCUGCCCACCAACUUUUCAAGUUACUUUUACCCACCUUCAAAAUUACAUCUGCUUUUAGCAAGAAUUACUGAUGUGAUAAAGAUGGGAGUGUUCACCAUGCAAGGGCAGGGGAUCCCCUGCUGCUCCACCAUCAGAUUUGGGACACCACCCCCCCCCCGGCCCCACCAGAGGGCAUCAGCUAUGCCUAGAAGGGGACCACAACAGACUCGACAGGAUCCACCGGUUGGGCCCAAGGCAGGAGGAAGGGCGGCGCCCCCAAACUCCCAGGACGCCUGCAGCACCCCCCACGCGCCGCUCUCCGCCUCUGGGGAGCAUCCUGCCACCCCCCGACACACACACCCCGGCUACAUCCCGCCUUCUCACGCUUGGUCAGGCGCUCUGGAGAUGUCGGAGAUCCAGGCUUUUCCUAAAGAGUCAGGAUUGGAAGGCGGACUCCCACCGUUUGCUGAGCUCCACAUGACAACAGCAGACGACAGGCCGCACUGAUCCCACCUGGCUUACAGGUGCUGUCACACAGGUACGCCUUCUUGUGAAUCAUCAGUCACCAUUUGCCCCUCGCAGCAACCCUGUCUUGGAGGAAGGUCCUUGCCGACACCCGCCUCUCCCCACCCUUAGGCUCCCUUGCUCCUUCAUUCAACCAUUGUUUACAUGUCGUUCAGGACUGCUGACUAAACACUUUCAAGCACAGUGGACCCUUGAACAACGCAGGUUCAAACUGUGCAGGUCCACCCACAGGGAUGUUUUUCAAUCAGAGUUAUACCAAGUGUCCCUGCCUCUCCUGCCUCCCUUCCCACUUCCUCCAUGUCUUCCUCUCUGCCACCCUGAGGCAGCAAGACCAGCCCCUCCUCCUCAGCCACUCAACAUGAAGACAACGAGGAUGAAGACUUCUAUGAUAAUCCACUUCCACUUAGUAAAUGCUUUCUCUUAUGAUAUUCUUAAUGACAUUUUAUUUUCCCAAGCUUAGUUUAUUGUAAGAAUACAGUAUAAAUACACAUACAAA
rnacentral:lncRNA from 1 species